rnacentral:lncRNA from 1 species
GACCAAUGAUAAAUUGUCCUAAACGUUAUAAGAAAUAGUACAAUUUACUUUAGAGAAAUUGAAAUACAAUUGAGGAAAUACAUAAACCUAAGAAGGCUCAAAGGGGGAGAGAGAGAGAGAGAGAGAGUGAUUUCGCCAUCCACUCAUUUCCUCCUCUGAUUGCCAUUACUUGAUCUAUUUAAUAAAGACCUUGGAAUAUUUUCUAUUAUAGAACUUAUCUCUCAUGCUCCUCCUAAUUUCAUUGAUGGUUGGAUCGUGUGCCAAGUGACCUUGCUCAUGUGCUACCGUUGUGGUUUGGUUGUAAUUUUCCUUAUUCACAACAGUUUGUGUAAAGUAUAUUACAAAAUAAGACUUCUUCCUACAAUUUUUUUUUUCAAAUAUAGAUUUCUCCAACAUUAAACUAUUGGAUGCACACGAUAUCUUGAUACUAUCGUCAUAAGGGCUAGAAACAUUCCCCUAUAAUAUCAAUUAGAAGAAGCUUCUACAAAGCAUAUGUCCUCUAUUCUUUUCACACUCGUUGCUAAUUUAUCUCUUUCUUCUAAACCCGCCAAUCGUGGAGUUUCAUUCUAAAGAUGUUGACUUGUUUAUUUUUG